rnacentral:rRNA from 1 species
AAUGGGCGAAAGCCUGAUGCAGCAACGCCGCGUGAGUGAUGACGGUCUUCGGAUUGUAAAGCUCUGUCUUUUGGGACGAUAAUGACGGUACCAAAGGAGGAAGCCACGGCUAACUACGUGCCAGCAGCCGCGGUAAUACGUAGGUGGCAAGCGUUGUCCGGAUUUACUGGGCGUAAAGGAUGUGUAGGCGGAUACUUAAGUGAGAUGUGAAAGCCCCGGGCUCAACCUGGGGACUGCAUUUCAAACUGGGUAUCUAGAGUGCAGGAGAGGAAAGCGGAAUUCCUAGUGUAGCGGUGAAAUGCGUAGAGAUUAGGAAGAACAUCAGUGGCGAAGGCGGCUUUCUGGACUGUAACUGACGCUGAGGCAUGAAAGCGUGGGGAGCAAA